UACGGCCGCAAGGUUAAAACUCAAAUGAAUUGACGGGGGCCCGCACAAGCGGUGGAGCAUGUGGUUUAAUUCGAUGCAACGCGAAGAACCUUACCUGGUCUUGACAUCCACAGAACUUUCCAGAGAUGGAUUGGUGCCUUCGGGAACUGUGAGACAGGUGCUGCAUGGCUGUCGUCAGCUCGUGUUGUGAAAUGUUGGGUUAAGUCCCGCAACGAGCGCAACCCUUAUCCUUUGUUGCCAGCGGUCCGGCCGGGAACUCAAAGGAGACUGCCAGUGAUAAACUGGAGGAAGGUGGGGAUGACGUCAAGUCAUCAUGGCCCUUACGACCAGGGCUACACACGUGCUACAAUGGCGCAUACAAAGAGAAGCGACCUCGCGAGAGUAAGCGGACCUCAUAAAGUGCGUCGUAGUCCGGAUUGGAGUCUGCAACUCGACUCCAUGAAGUCGGAAUCGCUAGUAAUCGUGGAUCAGAAUGCCACGGUGAAUACGUUCCCGGGCCUUGUACACACCGCCCGUCACACCAUGGGAGUGGGUUGCAAAAGAAGUAGGUAGCUUAACCUUCGGGGGGGCGCUUACCACUUUGUGAUUCAUGACUGGGGUGAAGUCGUAACAAGGUAACCGUAGGGGAACCUGCGGUUGGAUCACCUCCUUA
rnacentral:rRNA from 2 species